AGCCUCAUUCUAGAUUAAAACAGGCACUAUUUUUGUACAUGGUGUCCAGAAAUUGUUAAUGUGGCUACAUUGAGACACAGGUUAUGCUUCCAUCACGGUACUUUUAUUGCAGUGGUGACAAUGAGACCUGUGACACUU